GAAUGGGAUGAUGAUGAUUUUUCUAGUUAUUUGAUGGCCAAUUUGAUGGCGAUUUAUCUUGUAUUAGCUCUAGCUGAUCGUUC